rnacentral:rRNA from 1 species
UUAGGGGUAAACCUGAGAAACCCGAAAGGUCGAAGGGAGAAAUUCAUUCGCGUUUCGCGGUAGGCGGCGUACGGUCGUGUGACGGGAAAGCGUUCGCGCGUUUCCGCACCUUCUGCGCGUCGAACCGAUCGCGAACGCGUGCACUUUUCUCCUGGUAGGACGUCGCGAUCCGUCGGGUGUCGGUCUACGGCUUGCGAUGGAGCCCGUUCGUAUUCGCGUACGAACGGACUCGCAUGUCCCGGCCGACUCGCUCGACGGUAUACGAAAGGUUUAGGGCCGCUCACUCGGAGCGUUCGACCCGUGGCAAGCGCGCCAGACGCGUCGGCGAUCGGACCCGGUGCCGAUUCUGACCUCUGGUGACUGUUGGCCGCGGUGUUCUCGAACAGACCCGUCGACCGAUCUGCGACGCUAUAGCUUUGGGUACUUUCAGGACCCGUCUUGAAACACGGACCAAGGAGUCUAGCAUGUGCGCGAGUCAUUGGGAAUCACUAAACCUAAAGGCGCAAUGAAAGUGAAGGUCUUCCUUUGCGGAGACCUAGGGAAGACGGGCGAUUCGUCUUUAAAAGCGGUCGCCUC